UUUGGAUUAGCCCAAAGAGAGGCCCAGAUUCGUUGGCCCAUUUGUAAACCUAUACAGUAAAUGACGCUUUUGCCCCUGAAUGUUUAAACAAGGCGCGACUUCUCUGUUUCGUUUUUGUUCUCGUUCGUUUGGCAGCAGCUUCGUGUUCUUCUCUGUUUCGUCUUCGAGCUCAGUUGUUUGGCAGCAGAUUUCGUUCGUUU
rnacentral:lncRNA from 1 species